AUAGUUCUAGAACGGCAGUAUCGUAGCCAAUGAGGUUAAUCCGAGGCGCGAUUAUUGCUAAUUGAAAACUUUUCUUAUGUUGCCCAAGGUGGUGCUGCCUGACCUGGCUUGGCUCAGGGUAAAGUUGUAUUAAAAGUUAAAGGAUGUUCAAAUGGAAUUAAAGAAACAAACCAUCUCUUGUUU
rnacentral:snRNA from 1 species